UACGAAGGGGGCUAGCGUUGCUCGGAAUCACUGGGCGUAAAGGGUGCGUAGGCGGGUCUUAAGUCAGGGGUGAAAUCCUGGAGCUCAACUCCAGAACUGCCUUUGAUACUGAGGAUCUUGAGUACGGGAGAGGUGAGUGGAACUGCGAGUGUAGAGGUGAAAUUCGUAGAUAUUCGCAAGAACACCAGUGGCGAAGGCGGCUCACUGGCCCGUUACUGACGCUGAGGCACGAAAGCGUGGGGAGCAAACAGGG
rnacentral:rRNA from 1 species